UCACCUCUGGCUCUUAACAAUUUUACCACCUCCUUUUUUACAAAGUUUCUUAAGGCAUGAUGAGAGGGGUCUGAUGAAGAUAUACAAUUCAGGACUGAGUGCUGCAGAAUCCCUCACUCUCUGCACACUGUCCAGAUGUGUGGGUCUCUGUUAAUUUUCAUCUACUGCCAGAAGAAGCUUCUCUGAUAUGGGGUGACCAAGGAACUGAUCUACAGGUGAAGGUGUUCAUGUGAUACAUUCUUGGCCAGUGAGGUAUGAAGAGGAAUCAGCUGGAUCACUGACAAAGUACCAUGGUGGCAGCCUGACAUCCUACUACAUAGCUUUUUCACAAGUGUUAACCAUUUCAAAGAACCAUGCUUAAAGGAUACCCAGAGAAGUCUAAGCAGCCAAAUGUUCCACACAUCUAAGCACCUCACUCUUCCUCUUAUUAGGUAAAUUUCAAUGAAAUGAGCAAACAAUUUGGAGAGAUAUUCUUUCUUUACUGGACAUAACCCAGCUCAUUCUUCUUCUAUCAGUGUGAAAAUGAUUGCCAAAUGAACAUCUACAGGGCACCUCAUCCAGAAGCAGUACAGGGGAACACAGGAUCACCAAGGAGUAUCCCAUCUGAAACCUCAGGAAUCCCCAGAAACUGACACAUCAGCUUUGAAACCCACCACAACUGUCAAGGAUUCAUGCUCUGAGAUGAAACUACGUAAUAGGGGAGAGAUCUUGGUACCCAAGAUACACAUUGGUUCCUGCAACUGCAGAGGAAGAAGGUCUCUUGUGAUUCUGUGCUCACAGCAGCCCUAGAAAUAAUGAAGACAGCCAACUACGGACUGAAACCAUGAGCUAAAAUAAAUUAUCUCAUUUUAAAGUUG